rnacentral:lncRNA from 1 species
GUUGGUUUCUGUAAAAAAGAAUAACUUUUCAAAAUAAUUAAAACGACUAGUGAAAAAUAUGAGGAACAGACCAUUGCUGUGGUUGCUACCUGAGGCUGCAGGAGCAUGGGUGGUUUAAUGAGAGUGAAAAUCUGUCAACAGUAUCGAAGACAGUUGAUCAAUUUUCUGACUUUGUUUUAGCAUAUCUUCCUUACUAUUAUAUUGCAACACCUCUGUAUCAG